CGCGCAGGCGGUCGAGUAAGUCGAAUGUGAAAGCCCCCGGCUCAACUGGGGAUCGUCAUUCGAUACUGUUCGACUCGAAGAUGGGAGAGGGAAGCGGAAUUUCAGGUGUAGUGGUGAAAAGCGUAGAUAUCUGAAGGAACACCAGUGGCGAAGGCGGCUUUCUGGCCCAUUCUUGACGCUGAGGCGCGAAAGCUAGGGGAGCGAACG
rnacentral:rRNA from 1 species